GGUUAAGCGACUAAGCGUACACGGUGGAUGCCCUGGCAGUCAGAGGCGAUGAAGGACGUGCUAAUCUGCGAAAAGCGUCGGUAAGGUGAUAUGAACCGUUAUAACCGGCGAUGUCCGAAUGGGGAAACCCAGUGUGAUUCGUCACACUAUCGUUAACUGAAUACAUAGGUUAACGAGGCGAACCGGGGGAACUGAAACAUCUAAGUACCCCGAGGAAAAGA
rnacentral:rRNA from 2 species